rnacentral:rRNA from 1 species
UACGUAGGGUCCGAGCGUUGUCCGGAAUUAUUGGGCGUAAAGGGCUCGUAGGCGGUUUGUCGCGUCUGCCGUGAAAGUCCGGGGCUCAACUCCGGAUCUGCGGUGGGUACGGGCAGACUAGAGUGAUGUAGGGGAGACUGGAAUUCCUGGUGUAGCGGUGAAAUGCGCAGAUAUCAGGAGGAACACCGAUGGCGAAGGCGGCAUCCUGGACCGACAUUGACGCUGAACGGCGAAAGCUAGGGGAGCAAACGGG